rnacentral:rRNA from 1 species
GAUGAACGCUGGCGGCGUGCCUAAUACAUGCAAGUCGAGCGAACGGACGAGAAGCUUGCUUCUCUGAUGUUAGCGGCGGACGGGUGAGUAACACGUGGAUCCCCUACCUAUAAGACUGGGAUAACUUCGGGAAACCGGAGCUAAUACCGGAUAAUAUUUUGAACCGCAUGGUUCAAAAGUGAAAGACGGUCUUUCUGUCACUUAUAGAUGGAUCCGCGCUGCAUUAGCUAGUUGGUAAGGUAAAGGCUUACCAAGGCAACGAUGCAUAGCCGACCUGAGAGGGUGAUCGGCCACACUGGAACUGAGACACGGUCCAGACUCCUACGGGAGGCAGCAGUAGGGAAUCUUCCGCAAUGGGCGAAAGCCUGACGGAGCAACGCCGCGUGAGUGAUGAAGGUCUUCGGAUCGUAAAACUCUGUUAUUAGGGAAGAACAUAUGUGUAAUUAACUGUGCACAUCGUGACGGUACCUAAUCAGAAAGCCACGGCUAACUACGUG